UAAGGUAAUUCGGCUAUAGCGCAUAUUUACUGUAAAAAAGUAAUGAGUGAGGAAAGUCCGGACUUCAACAGAGCACGGUGCUAGCUAACGGCUAGGCGGGGUAACCCGACGGAAAGUGCAACAGAAAACAAACAGCCAACUUCUUUUUGUUAAGAAAGGCAAUGGUGAAAACGUGAGGUAAGAGCUCACGGAUAUGGUUGGCGACAACCUGUCUGGCAAACCCCACCUGAAGCAAAACCAAAUAGGGGCAGGAGGGCUUGCUCAGCCUGUUUGAAUGCCCGGGUCGGUUGCAAAGAAUGUGUGUAAAAACACAUCAAGAGAAAUUAUAG
rnacentral:RNase_P_RNA from 1 species